GAGAAAUUAAGGAUUUUUUUGUCUAUUGGGAACAUAAUCUUUUUAGUCGGGAAAAACAGACAAGCUUCAUGCUAUCGUGCACAGUAGAGAUAAUGCAAAACAAACAAAUUGAGAAUUUACGAAGUGUUGAAGUCAGAAAUGGAAACAUACUCAAAAAUUUUCCUUGAUGAAAAUAAUCAUCACACUCACAGAGUAAAGAUGGAAAUGGGAGAAGCUGAUGAGAGCUAUGAAAAAGGAAACUCAUUUGACUUGGAAUACACCGAAUACUUUUCAUCGAUAAACACGAAUAACAGAUCAUAAAACGAAAGUAACUGAUACUCGUUAAUAUUGAAAUUCUAUGCGGUACAUGCAAACUUCAUUAUUUUAACUAAGAGCUUAGUUUUUAGUUAAAAGUUGAUCAACUUCCUAGUGCUAGUAUUAGUUCUUAGUACUUAGGUAAAAUGUAUAAACAUCCUCAUUGAUUUGUUAGAGUUCAAUUCUUAGGUUAAGUCUUAGUCCUUAGUUCUUAGGAAUGGUGCAUGAACCAACCAUUAAUUUCUUGAUUUUAAUGAAAAAUGUCAGAAUAUGUUGACCAUUUCUUUUUUUUCUGAAUAAUGUAAAAUAUUUAGAUACAAUUCAAUAAUAGAGAAAGAAAGAGAAAAGUUUAUUGAUGGCCAUCGACCUGAGGUCCUUCAGCCUAUUACACUGCAUAUACAUAAAUAUUUAAAAAAAAAGUACAUUAUGUGUUUUCUAAUGCUCUAAAUAAAGUCUGUGUAGGGUAUUUUCUAAAAGUUGUGUCAUCGAGAUCUUUAAGAUUAUUGAAAAACUUUCUGUUGAAAAUACAAAAUCAAGAAUCAAUUGCUUCACCUGGUUCUUGAAUACAGCGUUUGGUUUGGCGGGUUAUGCAAUAUAUUGUUGGGAUGUCUGAUUUUUGAGUUGAUCCUAAGUGCUGUUGUCUCUGCCACCUUGAGAUUUUUUACUUUGGAUGGAUAUACCUUGUUUUUUAUAUGUCAGUUUGGCAAAGUAUUUGGCUCUAGUGAAAUUCAGUUUAUUAUCAAUCUGUACACCCAAAUAUUUCAUUGAAGUAGAAAUUUUUACCUUUGGAAUAAUUUAUUUUGUUGCAUGCAUUAAUCCAGUUGUUUCCUCUAAACUGCUGUAUCAUAUUUUGAAUAUUUUUAUUAUACCUAUUUAUACCUCUUUUGAAGUUUGAAAUUGUUUAUGAGAUGUUUUUGGUAUGUAGCUGUUAAUGUUAAUAUAGAGUAUUCAAGAUGUUGACGUGAAUUUGCCUAUUACUUUCGUAUUAUAAAAAUUUUUAUUUCAUCAUGUACCGUUAUUGGAGCAUGAAUCUGGCUUGUGUUUUUUUGAGAGAUCUUCUUUUUCAUUAGUUUUUUUAUUAAGUGGCUUGACAUUAGCGUUUGAAAUACCUUCUAUGGGUUUUUUUUGGAUGUUUCGGACAUUUAAUUGACCAUGCCACAUAGUCUUCUGCGCCACAAGACAAGCACUUCGGAGCAUUAUUGGUUUUGUACUGAGACAUAUUAUGUGGUCCUUGUCAUUUUCAAGUAUUUUGGUGAAUUUGUGCAUAAAUCUUUUAUGGUCGAAUUGUAAACAUUUGUUGAAAGGUAUAGGAGUUGGUUCUGGAGGAGGGCUAGGAUAUACCAAAUAGUGUUGAUUCAUGAAAAAUAAUCCAUUAUUCAAAAGUGCUUCAAAUGAUUCAAUUUCACCCAUAAUUAUUCUAAUAAAUCUUGUGGGUUUUGAUUGGGCUCUUGAUAUUAUCCUUUUGCAAUAUCUAUGUUUUAUGUUUUGUGAUAAAAGAUACUGACUUAUUUCUUCUUCUUUUAUACACGUUUCCGUAUUUGAAAUCACCACAGAGUAAGUUUGUUGAGGCUCUCUUCUUGUAUUUGUCGGUUUUUGCGAUGUUGUUUUCUUGUAACUGACUAUUUUUUUCGCCUUCUUUAGCUCUGACAGGGCUUGUUUCAAUUCCUUUUCAUUAGUAUAUCUCUGGACAUAGGAAAUAUCGUAUUCCAAAUGGUCGACUUUUGUAUUUUUUCUAUUUCAUUGUUUUCAGAAUUAAUAUAAAAUAAAUUUGAAUAUUCCAUCUUCUGGAUUUCAUUCAUCUUGGCCUAAAGGUUUUUGUUUAUUAUUUUGGUUUUCAAUGUUUCUUGUUGAUUAUUUUUUGUUGACUGUUCAUUAUUUCCUUUAUCAAUUUCCAUUGUUGAAGGGAUGUUUUGAUUCAUUUCUGGAUCUUUUAUUAAUUGUGGUUGUUUGAAUACGAUAUCAGGAGAUUUAUUAUCGUUUUUUUUUCUUUGUAUCUAUGGCGUUUUUGGUUGACUUUUUCUUUUGUCUUUUACGCUUUGAAUCUUCCGGGUUUUUAGGUACUUCUCCUCCUUAAUCGAAUUUGUUUACUCAUAAUAAUCACUUUCUUGAAGAAAUUCUCAAGGCACGUUGAAAUUAUUCACAUGUGCUCACCACGAAGGUUUAACAUGAACUGUUUAAUAUUAUUUUUUUUAUUUCGCAAUAAAUCAGAUACACUAGGAUACACAGAUACAAGAUACUAUUAUUAUUAUUAUUUGAACUGGGGUCGUUUUGCUUCGGUAAGCCUUCCGGGAACUGCGACCAUGCAGAUCUUUUGUUCACUACCCUACUCAUUCAUAGA